rnacentral:rRNA from 1 species
AGUGAACGCUGGCGGUAGGCCUAACACAUGCAAGUCGAACGGCAGCACAGUAAGAGCUUGCUCUUACGGGUGGCGAGUGGCGGACGGGUGAGGAAUACAUCGGAAUCUACUUUUUCGUGGGGGAUAACGUAGGGAAACUUACGCUAAUACCGCAUACGACCUACGGGUGAAAGCAGGGGAUCUUCGGACCUUGCGCGAUUGAAUGAGCCGAUGUCGGAUUAGCUAGUUGGCGGGGUAAAGGCCCAACAAGGCGACGAUCCGUAGCUGGUCUGAGAGGAUGAUCAGCCACACUGGAACUGAGACACGGUCCAGACUCCUACGGGAGGCAGCAGUAGGGAAUAUUGGACAAUGGGCGCAAGCCUGAUCCAGCCAUACCGCGUGGGUGAAGAAGGCCUUCGGGUUGUAAAGCCCUUUUGUUAGGAAAGAAAAGCAGCAGGUUAAUACCCCGCUGUUCUGACGGUACCCAAAGAAUAAGCACCGGCUAACUUCGUG